rnacentral:misc_RNA from 1 species
CUCUCUCUCUCUCUCUUGUAUGCUCUCAUCUUUCUUCGCAGACAUACCACCAUUCCUCUGCUUCCCCAGCAGAACAUGAAAAUAGCUCUCCGCUCACUAUAAAUCCCCCAAGCAGCUAAAGCCUCCCAUCUUCUACUCUUCUCAAUGGCUGCACCAUUAUGCGACUCGCCAUUAGUCAACCGCUUUCCCUCCGUUUCUUCUUUCCUUCCCAAGUCUUUCCUUGCCAACGAAAAUUACCGUUGGGAGACUCAUCUUCGUUCCUCUUUUCUUGGUUCAAAAUCACCGCAAAUGUUCCGUUCUGCAGCUAAGACAUCGAAAUUCGGAAGUAAUAGAAGGCGGAGGAUGCUUGCAGUGGCUUCAUUCGGAGGUUUUCUGGGUGGGAUGUUUAAAGGGACGGAUACUGGGGAGUCCACGAGGCAGAAGUAUGCUCCAACUGUGACCCUUAUUAACGGAUUCGAAGCGGAGAUGUCUGCAUUGUCUGAUUCGGAAUUGAGAGAAAAGACUUCUGUGUUGAAGGAGCGUGCCCAAAUGGGUGAAUCGUUGGAUUCUCUUUUACCUGAAGCAUUUGCCGUGGUAAGGGAAGCUUCCAAGAGGGUCUCAGGGCUUCGUCCCUUUGAUGUGCAACUGAUAGGUGGCAUGGUUCUUCACAAAGGAGAAAUUGCUGAAAUGAGAACUGGAGAGGGAAAGACACUUGUUGCCAUUUUACCAGCUUAUUUGAAUGCUUUAAGUGGCAAAGGAGUUCAUGUUGUGACAGUCAAUGAUUAUUUGGCACGAAGAGAUUGUGAAUGGGUUGGUCAAGUUCCCCGUUUUCUUGGUUUGAAGGUUGGCCUGAUCCAACAAAAUAUGACAAGUGAACAAAGAAGGGAGAAUUAUUUGUGUGACAUCACAUACGUCACUAACAGCGAGCUUGGUUUUGAUUUCUUGAGAGAUAAUCUUGCCACGAGUGUUGAGGAGCUUGUCUUGAGAAGUUUCAAUUACUGUAUAAUUGAUGAAGUUGAUUCAAUCCUCAUUGAUGAAGCAAGAACUCCUCUCAUCAUAUCUGGACCCGCAGAGAAACCUAGUGAUCGAUAUUACAAGGCUGCAAAAAUAGCUGCAGCUUUUGAACGAGAUAUACAUUACACUGUGGAUGAGAAGCAGAAAACAGUUCUUCUCACUGAACAGGGUUAUGAGGAUGCUGAAGAAAUUUUGGAUGUAAAAGACUUGUAUGAUCCCCGAGAACAGUGGGCAUCAUAUGUUCUGAAUGCAAUAAAAGCAAAAGAGUUAUUUCUUAGAGAUGUUAAUUAUAUCAUACGUGGGAAGGAGGUGCUAAUUGUAGAUGAAUUUACUGGCCGAGUUAUGCAGGGGAGGAGAUGGAGUGAUGGACUCCACCAAGCAGUUGAAGCAAAAGAAGGUUUGCCCAUCCAAAAUGAAACUGUAACCCUGGCAUCUAUUAGUUACCAAAACUUCUUUCUCCAGUUUCCAAAACUUUGUGGAAUGACUGGCACUGCAGCCACUGAAAGCACAGAAUUUGAGAGUAUAUACAAACUUAAAGUUACAAUUGUGCCUACAAACAAGCUCAUGAUAAGAAAGGAUGAAUCCGAUGUAGUUUUCAGGGCAAGCACUGGAAAAUGGCGGGCAGUUGUGGUAGAGAUUUCUAGAAUGCACAAAACAGGUCGACCAGUGCUUGUUGGCACAACAAGUGUUGAGCAGAGCGAUGCACUGUCUGAACAGUUACGAGAAACUGGAAUUCCUCAUGAGGUUCUCAAUGCAAAACCGGAGAAUGUGGAGAGAGAAGCGGAGAUUGUAGCGCAGAGUGGACGCUUGGGAGCAGUUACAAUUGCUACAAAUAUGGCAGGUCGUGGAACUGAUAUUAUUCUUGGUGGAAAUGCAGAAUUUAUGGGAAGGUUGAAGCUACGUGAGAUGCUUAUGCCAAGAGUUGUUAAGCCAACUGAAGGAGGUUUUGUAUCAGUGAAGAAACUUCCUCCAAGGAAGACAUGGAAGGUCAAUCAAAGUUUGUUUCCAUGCAAGCUAACUAAUGAGAAUACUAACUUGGCUGAAGAAGCUAUCGAGCUGGCUGUAAAAUCUUGGGGCCAGAGAUCAUUGACUGAACUGGAAGCAGAGGAGCGCCUAUCUUACUCCUGUGAAAAGGGCCCUGCUCAAGAUGAAGUCAUAGCCAAGCUUCGGAUAGCCUAUCUAGAAAUUGUGAAAGAAUAUAAGGUCUAUACUGAGGAAGAAAAGAAGAAGGUUGUGUCAGCUGGUGGGCUACAUGUGGUUGGUACAGAAAGGCACGAGUCACGCAGAAUUGACAAUCAGGUUGAAUUCAUCAACAUUUUAUGUAAUUGUGUAAUUUGAACUGUGAACUCCAACUAACAGAUGCUUUGCUUCACAUUAUCAUUUGAAGAGGAAAGUUCCUCUCUCCCCUAUAUAUUAUCUUUUUCCCCCCUUUUCUUUUGUGUUUUUGUGUGAUGGGAUCAUGAGAAUAAUUUUAUUUAGAAUGUACCAAAACACAACUUGUAUGUUGCGUCUGCACAGCUUCGUGGUCGAAGUGGUCGCCAAGGGGAUCCUGGAAGUUCCCGCUUUUUCCUAAGUCUUGAAGAUAACAUUUUUAGAAUUUUCGGUGGUGACCGAAUUGAGGGAUUGAUGAGAGCUUUCAGAAUUGAAGACUUACCAAUUGAGUCCAAGAUGCUGACAAAAGCACUAGAUGAAGCUCAGAGGAAAGUGGAAAACUAUUUUUUUGAUAUUAGGAAGCAAUUAUUUGAGUAUGAUGAAGUCCUGAAUAGCCAAAGAGAUCGUGUGUAUACAGAGAGAAGACGAGCUCUUGAAUCGGACAAUCUCCAAAUGCUUAUCAUUGAAUAUGCUGAGUUGACAAUGGAUGACAUCUUAGAGGCAAAUAUUGGUUCUGAUGUGCCAAAGGAAAGUUGGGAUCUUGAAAAGCUCAUUUCAAAACUUCAACAGUACUGCUACCUGCUGAAUGAUUUGACCCCUGAUUUGCUAAGAAGUAAGUGUUCAAGCUAUGAGGAAUUGCAGAAUUACCUUCGUCUUCGAGGUCGCGAAGCAUAUUUGCAAAAAAGGGUUCGUACAUUAGUUUCACUGGCUCAAGAACAAUUUUCCUGUUUAUCAUGGAGCUCUACAUCUCAGUCCUUUUAGGGUUUGUUCUUUUAAAAGAGAGGGAAAUUCUGCUGCAUUAUGAUCAUAAUCAUACUAAUACAUCAAUUCAUGCUUGAACAAUGUAAGAUGAAUUCUGUUAAAGCAUCCCAUCGCAUAAAAACAACUCAUUGUUAUACCUGGCCCCUUUGGGAUGUCAUUUGUUGUCCUUGCUUGGCUAAACUUAAUGGAGCUUGGAUGUUUGUCCCCUAGGAAAGUUCCAACAUUUCUUUAAUACCUAACAAUGUGUUUAGUGCUGAAUUGCUGCAAUGUGAUAUGCAUAGAACUUGGCAUUGCACAUUCCAUAAUAUGCAUGAUUUGUACUUCGGGGUUUCCCACCUUCCUGAAAAAAAAUUUAUCAAUUAUGGAAAAAGAAAAAGAAAAAACAGGUCCUGUGCCCUAAUUUGGUAUCAUUAGUGUCGUAUUCCCCUUUUCUCCAGGAAGUUUUGAUUUUUCCCUUCUCUGUUUAAAUUGUUUUUAAGGAUAUUGUGGAGCAAGAAGCGCCAGGCUUGAUGACUGAAGCCGAGAGAUUCUUAAUUUUGAGCAAUAUUGAUCGCUUGUGGAAGGAGCAUUUGCAGGCAAUCAAGUUUGUUCAGCAAGCCGUAGGAUUGCGCGGAUAUGCACAACGUGAUCCACUUAUCGAGUAUAAGCUAGAAGGCUAUAAUCUAUUCUUGGAGAUGAUGGCUCAGAUAAGAAGAAAUGUUAUAUACUCCAUAUAUCAGUUUAAACCUGUACUGGUAAAGAAGGAUCAGGAGCAAAGCCCGAAUGAGAAGAUGGCCAAACUUGUCACAAAUGGUAGAGGUGGUCAGAAAAAUGCUGAUCCUGUCGAUACCGCCGAGUCUUCUUCAGCUGCAAGCCCCCAGGCUAGCGCAUGAGGCUCACAUCAUGGAAGAAUUUCUUCUAAAUUUGUAAGGGAUGGAAACAAUACAGAAAAUCAUCUUGUUCUUUCAAAUAGUAAAUAGCGAUCAUCUGUCAUUUACCUUGGCUGCGCCUAAGGAGAUUAAAACGGAAAAAGAAACCAAGAGGGUCUAUUUACCUAGGGUCUAUUUACCUGUAUCAUAGAGGAACCACACCAUUAAAAUUAGGAAAGAUGGAGGAAUUGUAUCGUUACCAUAGGGCUAAAUUAUGUGUUAUUUUUUCAAUCACAAUAAGAAAUCGGAAAUAUGUCAUGUGCCCCUCUCUUAUCCAACAGUUAUUCCUAUCCUUUAUGAUUGAUAACCAUUCAUUUUGUCAUUUCUGGUG